GAUCCUGGCUCAGGAUGAACGCUGGCGGCGUGCUUAACACAUGCAAGUCGAGCGAAGCAAUCUAAGUGAAGUUUUCGGAUGGAUCUUGGAUUGACUGAGCGGGCGGACGGGUGAAGGUAACGCGUGGAUAACCUGCCUCACACAGGGGGAUAACAGUUAGAAAUGACUGCUAAUACCGCAUAAGCGCACAGUACCGCAUGGUACAGUGUGAAAAACUCCGGU
rnacentral:rRNA from 1 species